CAGCCGCCGCGGGAAUACGUAGGGUGCGAGCGUUAAUCGGAAUUACUGGGCGUAAAGCGUGCGCAGGCGGUUGUGUAAGACAGGUGUGAAAUCCCCGGGCUUAACCUGGGAACUGCGCUUGUGACUGCACAGCUAGAGUAUGGCAGAGGGGGGUGGAAUUCCACGUGUAGCAGUGAAAUGCGUAGAGAUGUGGAGGAACACCGAUGGCGAAGGCAGCCCCCUGGGCCAAUACUGACGCUCAUGCACGAAAGCGUGGGGAGCAAACAGGAUUAGAUACCCCGGUAGUCCCUGUCUCUUAUAC
rnacentral:rRNA from 1 species